GAGCGCAACCCUUCAUCCUUAGUUGCCAUCAUUGAGUUGGGAACUCUAAGGAAACUGACCUCGGUUAACGGGAGGAAGGUGGGGAUGACGUCAAGUCCUCAUGGCCUUUAUGUCCAGGGCUACACACGUGCUACAAUGGGCGGAACAAAGGGUUGCAAUACCGCAAGGUGGAGCCUAAAUCUCAAAAAACCGCUCUCAGUUCAGAUUGGAGUCUGCAACUCGACUCCAUGAAGGCGGAAUCGCUAGUAAUCGCGGAUCAGCAUGCCGCGGUGAAUACCGGUUCCCGGGCCUU
rnacentral:rRNA from 1 species